GUAUAAGCUUGCGUUUAAAAGAGCAAAACACACAAGUUGAAGGCAUGCUGCAACUACAUAAAGCACAGCCCGUCAAAGGAAAGGGGGUCACAUCAACCUGUGAAAUUCCGGAAGACUUGGGCGACUAUUCAGGCGAUGAAGAACGAUUAGAAAACCUGGAUGAAGAUGUUGGUUCUUCUUCAGCGCUUAUCACAUUUGUGAUCCUCUUUAUGAUGAGUAUGAUGUACAGCGCAUUUUCAACGACUAUUAAGGUAAAUUAGAGAAUGCUGACGCAGACGCAUUUCAGCUUUUGUUUGCAUGGACCCGAAGUCAAAUGAAGACAUCAAACUAAUGGUGACUGUCCUGAUGAAGGUCUCGGGCCGUAAAGUCGAUCGUUAUUCUGCUCCAUAGAUGCUGCCUGACCUGCUGAGCUCCUCCAGCAUUUUGCAUGUUGCUCUGAAUUUUCAGUGUCUGCAGAAUCUCUUGUGUAGAUAACAUCAGACUGCUACAUUUAUAAUAGCCUUGAUACUGUGUGUGUGAAUUUAUAGUUCUGUUUCUCUUUAUCCUAUCAGCUUGUUUCUGAUUUCUGCUGUGUCAGUGGCUGGUUUUGGUUGGAAUUUCACAGAACAAUUACAAAGCAAUGAAAUUGAAAAUGUAUUCCUCUGAAUAAUGUAAAAUAAACUGGGAUGAA